GAUGAACGCUGGCGGCGUGCCUAAUACAUGCAAGUCGAGCGAACGGACGAGAAGCUUGCUUCUCUGAUGUUAGCGGCGGACGGGUGAGUAACACGUGGAUAACCUACCUAUAAGACUGGGAUAACUUCGGGAAACCGGAGCUAAUACCGGAUAAUAUUUUGAACCGCAUGGUUCAAAAGUGAAAGACGGUCUUGCUGUCACUUAUAGAUGGAUCCGCGCUGCAUUAGCUAGUUGGUAAGGUAACGGCUUACCAAGGCAACGAUGCAUAGCCGACCUGAGAGGGUGAUCGGCCACACUGGAACUGAGACACGGUCCAGACUCCUACGGGAGGCAGCAGUAGGGAAUCUGCCGCAAUGGGCGAAAGCCUGACGGAGCAACGCCGCGUGAGCGAUGAAGGUCUUCGGAUCGUAAAACUCUGUUAUUAGGGAAGAACAGAUGUGUAAGUAACUGUGCACAGCUUGACGGUACCUAAUCAGAAAGCCACGGCUAACUACGUG
rnacentral:rRNA from 1 species